rnacentral:rRNA from 1 species
GACGAACGCUGGCGGCGUGCUUAACACAUGCAAGUCGAGCGGUAAGGCCCCUUCGGGGGUACACGAGCGGCGAACGGGUGAGUAACACGUGAGCAAUCUGCCCUUCACACGGGGAUAACUCCGGGAAACCGAAGCUAAUACCCGAUACGACCACUGGCCGCAUGGCCUGGUGGUGGAAAGUUCCGGCGGUGAAGGAUGAGCUCGCGGCCUAUCAGCUUGUUGGUGGGGUAGUGGCCUACCAAGGCAACGACGGGUAGCCGGCCGGAGAGGGUGACCGGCCACACUGGGACUGAGACACGGCCCAGACUCCUACGGGAGGCAGCAGUGGGGAAUAUUGGACAAUGGGCGAAAGCCUGAUCCAGCAACGCCGCGUGAGGGAUGACGGCCUUCGGGUUGUAAACCUCUUUCAGCAGGGACGAAGCGCAAGUGACGGUACCUGCAGAAGAAGCACCGGCCAACUACGUGCCAGCAGCCGCCGUAAAAC